UACGUAGGGUGCAAGCGUUGUCCGGAAUUAUUGGGCGUAAAGAGCUCGUAGGCGGUCUGUCGCGUCGGCUGUGAAAUCCCGAGGCUCAACCUCGGGUCUGCAGUCGAUACGGGCAAACUAGAGUAUUGCAGGGGAGACUGGAAUUCCUGGUGUAGCGGUGAAAUGCGCAGAUAUCGAGAGGAACACCUGCGGCGAAGGCGGGUUGCUGGGCUGAUACUGACGCUGAGGCGCGAAAGCGUGGGGAGCAAACAGG
rnacentral:rRNA from 1 species